rnacentral:tRNA from 3 species
GCCAACGUAGCUCAGCUGGUAGAGCGGCUCACUCGUAAUGAGCAGGUCGCCGGUUCGAGUCCGGCCGUUGGCU